rnacentral:lncRNA from 1 species
CAAAAAACCAAACACAUCUCACGAAUGGAUAACAACUGUCAUUUCCCUGACUUGGUACAUGCAAAUGUCUCAUGUAGAAAAUGGUAGAUUUAAUCUGGUUUUAUAGCUAGCUAAACCUCUCACUUGAAUGACAGUCGCGUAAAAUUUCAUUACAUUGACAACAAUGUGUGAGCAAAAUAAACAGACACAAUAGGUAAAAUGUUAACAAUUGGGGUAUAGCAGUCAUCAUUGUCUUGUCAUCUAUAAAAACAAACAACUAUGAAAGCAAAUAAAAACAAAAUAGCAAGCAGACACUCUAUUGAGAAAGCGCAUAAGCCAAAAUGAAAGACAAGAACACAAAAAAAGAAGACCAUAACACAAUAACACAAUGAUGAGGAUGAAUAGUUACCGAGCCACGUCAAAAGGAUAUUACAACAACAAAAAAUAGUACAAGGUUAAUGAUAUACAAAGGCAAAUAAAAAGAACACUUUUACACUAAAUUAAGGGGGUUCGCGGGUCUAAAUCAUUUAUAUAGGAUUUCUCUAUAUUUUUCUAUAAAUGAACUUCAUCUUAUAGUUAAUAGAAAAAUAAAAUAAAAAAGUAGGGUCACCAUUCAUUUGCGCUCACAAUCUGCCUUCGAAAGAAGCAUACAUUUUUGUAAAGGUGGGUUUUUUCUGUUGAAGUAAUAGGAGAAAUAAAGGUAAUAUCGAAAUAAAAAAAGAUAUUUAUUACAGAAAUCGCUAAAAUUUUACAAUAAUUUAGUUUAAG